UAAAAAUAUGUGGUGAGGCAAGGAAUACUAUUAAUAUUUUAUGGAAACCUUGAAGUUUCAUUAGAAAUAAAUGGUAUUUGACUGUUGCCUCUUAGGGUAAGGAUGAUGUAGACAGUGUAAGUUAUAUAGACAGUGUUCGUAUUCUGUCUUAGUGGUAAGAUCCAAGUUGUUUGUUUUCUUAGCAGACUAAAUAUAUACACUAAAUUGAUGAUUGCCUAAAUAACUAUGUGAAUGUUGAAGCAGAGCUCCAUGGAGAGAAUGUCUCAACCAUCUUAUCACCUGCUUUGCUUUGUACUCCUUAGAAGAGACCCUCGGAACCUGAUUUAAAGAUUCUCCCUUGAUCUUGAACUGCAGGGCUGCAUCGCCUGUUUUAGGAGACUGGAGACCAGUAAUAGAAGCUCGAGGUGAUUUCAGCCUCUCUUGUGAUCAAGGUCACCAUGUUUCCCUUCUCUAGGAAAGAGCCCAAGGCGAGUAAUAGUCAAAGUUCUUUUCUUGGUGUGGGUCAUGUGUUUAAGGGCUUUCGUGGUGUUACUCAAACAUAAUAAAUACAGUGAAAAAUUAACCAUGGCUCAAUGAUAAAUAUGAUAUGAGACAUUACGUUGAUCAAUCGAUAACAUGUAACAUUGCUACUUAUUAAUGAAAGAGGUAUCUAUUUUGGCAAUAAUUCUAUAGGGAGAAGUCAGGGAUAUUCAAGUAUCAUGUUCUUUGGUUUCUAUUAAUCGUGGAUGUAUUUUAUUAUUCCCAGUGGAGGUAUGACUUAAUUGAUACAGAUAUAAAAAUGAAUAAACUAAAAGUGGCCUCUAAGGGAACCAGUGGUGAUGACGGGUCAUGGACGGUGGAUAGUAGGUGUCUGGAACCCUGAGGUUCAAUACAAUAAAUAUUCUGUUUUCUCUAUUUACUUGAUCGUAUGGGUAGAUGUUAGGAAGUAUAAAGAUUAUGUUCUUAUUUUGGAUGAAUACGUUUAGAUGUGUUGUUAUGAAUGGACCAAUGAUAGAACCACUAAAGGAAAUAUAAAUAAUAGAGUAAGAAGAAAAGGCAAAUUAUUGUCUCAUUAGGAACGUAACAUGGUGAAGCAAGAAAUACUAACAAAAUUUGCAAACACUGAUGCCCAUUAUGAAAUAGAUGUUUCCAGGGUGUCUCUCCUUUUGCCAAGGAUUAUAUAGAUAUGAAUAAUUAAGAGUCAGUUUUAUUAUUCUGGAUCAGUUUCAAGUUUGAAGGUUUCCUUUUUGUUAAGAGAAAAAAUCUACAUUAUGAAAGAUUUAUAAAUUCCUAAAUGAGUAAGUUCAAUGUGGAAAGCAAGAAUCAGUGGGAAUAAAAAUUUCAUCAUUUUUUUCUGUCAUCACUGUGGUUUGUACUUCUCAGAAUGGACACAUUCAAGCUAAUCAGGCAUUCCUCCCUGGUUGGUGAGCUUGGUGACAGCAUCUGUGUGUCAGAAGCACAGAGAUGGAUAAACAGGCAUGCUGCACCUGAUGUAAGGAUCCUUCCCUGAUCAGGAGCUCUAGGAUUGCUCUGGAAGGAGCAGGAAGAUCGGUUACUCUUCAGAACGGAUGCUCUAGCUGAUUUCAGCUUCUGCCCUGAUGAAGAAAGAUUGUUGGGUGGCCUGGGUCUUAGGAGGGUAAGCCAAGGUGAGUAGCAAGAGAUUUUGUCUUGGUGUGGGUCAUUUCCUUUAGGGUAUUCACAGUGUUAUUAAAAAUUCAUAAAUACCAUCAAAAAGUAAGGUGUUGCCCAAUGGUAAACACAGAUAGGAAACAUACCGAUUAAGUGAUAAUACGUAACAUGGAGAUUGACUGAUGAGAGAGAUAUAAUCUAUGUUGGCAUUUAUUCUAUAGAUAGAAGUUAGGGAAUUCAACCUGCUGAUUCUUCAGUUUUUGUUAAUGAUGUAUUUUACUAUAAUCGAUGAGUUAAUGAUGUAACUGGUAUAAAUGUCGAAAUGAAUGAAGAAAAAGUGGGUCUUUUAUGUACCUGUGAUAAUGACUGGUGGCAGAUGAGUUAGGGACGCUGAAUGAGGUCCAGGUCAAUAUGUAGCCUUUCUCUCUGUUUAUUUGAUCCUAAGGACAGAUUUUUGGAUAGUACAAAGAAUGUUUUUACUGGGUUCAUAGAUUUAGAUGUAUUAUUAGAAAUAGAUCAGUAAUAGAACCAUUGAAGAUAUAGAAACAGCAGAUAAAUACAAAAACGUGAGGCAUUGUCCAACUUUGAAGACCUGUUUUUAGGCAAGAAACAUUAAUAAAAAUUGUGAACACUGACACCCGUUAAGAAUUAAAUGGAUCAAGAGUGUCACUUCUUUGGCCAAGGGUCAUUUAGACAUGAGCAAUUUAGAGUCCAUUUUAUUGUUCUUGAUCCAUCUCAAGUUUGAGGAUUUUUGGUGCUGUUGUUGUUAAAAGAAAAAAAACCAAUGUUAUGAAAUAUUCAUAAAUAUCUGAAUGACUGAGUAAAUGAAAUGUGGAAAGCAAGCACCAAUGUAAGUAAAUGUUUUAUUUUAUUUUUUAUCACCAACUCUGCUUUUCAUUUCUCAAAAUGGACACACCUCGAGCCGAUUUAAGCAAUAUUCCGUGGCGGUGAGCUCUGUGGUUGCAUGUCUGUGUUAGAAGCACGGAGAACCAUAAUGGACACACUUGAGCUGAUUUAACGUCUUGCACGAUUAUGGAGCUCUAUGGUUGCCUCUAUAUAAUGGGAGGAUGGGGAUUAAUACCAUUGGACCCGCUUUAAGGAUUCUCACCUGAUCAAGAGCCCUUGGGUUGCAUUUCUGUACUGGGGAGACAGGAGACCAAUAAUGGACACACCUGAGCUGACUAAGCAUUGUUUCGUGGUGGUGAGCUCGUGAUUGCGUCUGUGUGUUAGAAGCACAGAGACCAAAAAUGGAUAUCCCCGAGCUGAUUCAAGCAUCUUCCGUGGCCAUGAUCUCUUGGUUGCCUCUAACAAUGGAUGCACUCAAGCUGAUCGUAACAUUCCUCCAAGGUCGUGAGCCCUCAGGUUGCAUCUAUGUUGUUGGAGCGUGGAGACCACAACAGACACAUUGCGCCAGAUUUAAGGAUUCUUCCCUGAUCACGAGCUCUAUCUAGGGUUGCAGCUCUGUUACAGGAGUCUGGAGACCAACGUGAGUCACCAUCAAAGUUCUUAUCUUUGUUCCUCGGUUUUGUUUGAGGAUAUUCACUGUAUUGGUAAAAGGUAUGAAAUAUAAUCCAAGCAUGUGAACUGUAUCCUAGUAACGAUUACGGGAUUAGUAUGAAGUAUUACUUUGAUUAAUACAUACGUGAGAAGCUGAUGAUAGUUAAUGACAGAGAUCUUUUGUUGUGAGAAUGAUUCCAGUCACAUAAGAGGGAUAGCAAGGCCUUGUUUUUAAUACUACAGUUUCAAAAUUAUAAUUAGUGAAUUACUGAAUUAAUCAAUAAACAAUAUAGACCUAAAUGGAGAGACAGUGGUGCUCCUUGGAUCAGUGAUGAUAACUGCCAGGGUAGGAGUCAUGCGUGAUGAAGGAUGUGUGUGUGGAACCCCGAGGUCCAACAGAAAAGAAAUGUGAGUUUUUUCCAUGCAAAGAGUUCCUCACUUUAUCGUUAUCUGCUCUGAUCUGUACUCCUCAGAAUGGACCCACUUGAGCCGAUGUAAGCCUCUUCCGAGGCAUGCGGUCUCCAGUUGCAUCUAUGUUGUUAGGAACAUUGGAGACCAGGGUGAGUAAUGUCAAUGCUUGAGCUUAGGUGGUUCCUUUAAGGGUAUUCCCUGUGUUAUUCCAAAUAUUAAAUACAGUCAAAGAAGGCAAAAUACACCAGUGUUAAAUACCAGAUUGAUACGGCACAUUAAGUUGAUGAAUCCAUUAAUGUAAAUCUUGAGGUCAGCUUUUGAAACAAAGAGUUAGUCCCUGGAAAAGUUUGGAGAGAUAAAGGCUGUUAAGGGAUCUUGUAUUUAUGUGUUUUUAAUUCUGUCUAUUUAUGAAUUUUGUGAAGCCAUAAGCAAAUGUUUAUGAGAAUAACAAGAAAGAGGCCUGAUCAUGAACAGUGAUGGUGAAUGGUGGCGGAUGAGCCACACAUUCAUUGGACAAUGAAUACUACGUGUCUGGAUUCCAAGGUCCAGUAUAAUACGUAGUGUAUUCUGUUUAUUUAAUCCUAUAGACAGAUGUUAGGUUUAUGUCCAAUACAGGAACUUGGCUGAUAGCCUUUGAUUUAUUAUUGUUAAUGGACAAAUUGUAGGACUAUGAAAGAAAUACAAAUAAUAAAUAAGAGAGGGUGAAGCAUUGUUCAACUAUGAACAUAUAUGUGGGCAGGCAUGAGAUAUUAUCAACACAAUUGAAAACACUGAAACUCAUUAAGGAAUAGAUGGAUUAGGAGUGUCGCCUGUUUGACCAAGGAUCAUGUUAACACAGGUAGUUAAGAGUCAGUUUUUUGUUGUGGAUCUAUUUCAAGUUUGCUGCUGUUUAUUUUGUUAAGACGAAAGUAUUUACACAAGGAAUCAUUAUAAAUUCCUAAGUGAGUGGGUAAAAAAAUGUGGAAAUAUAGGAUCAAUGGGAAUAAAAAUGUAACUUUUUUUUUUUAAAUCAGUUAUGCUUUGUUCUUCUCAGAACGGACACACUUGACCUGAUUCAAGUAGCACGACCCGGUGGCAGAGGGACCGAUGUGCGUAAGAGUCGGAGUUCUUGUCUGGCUUUCAAACGAUGCACUUGAGCUGAGUUAGCAUCUUCCAUGGUCAAGAGCUCUAUGGUUGCCUCUCUAUAAUAGGACAGAAAUUAAUAAUGGACACCCUUGAGCUGAUUUAAGGAUUAACCCACAGUCAUCAUGUUUAUGUUGGCAUCUCCCUGUUAGGAGCACGGAGAUCAAUGUGAGUAAGAGUCAAAAUUCUUCUCUUGGUUUAAGCGGUACAGAGAAGGCCAACCAUGCCAGUGUGCAGUAUUGGAUUGAUACGAAACAUUAAAAUGAUCAAUCCCUAAAGAAACAAACACUAAGUUCAGUUAAUCAAAAGGAUUUAGUUUAUUUAUAUAUGAUAUUAUUGAUAAAUGUUAGGGAUAUUGAAGGAUCUUCUUUUUUGGUGUGAUGUAGGCAUAUUUCUUUAUUAAUGAAUUAGUCAAUAAAGAAGCGCAGAUGAGAGUGGACAGAAAGACAGCCAAUCAUGGACCAGUGAUGAUGACUGCUGGUGUAUGACUCAUGGAUGAUGAAUAAUGAGUGUGGAACACUGAGGGCCAACCCGAAAGGAACCUAGUCUAUUCCCCAUAUUUCCAGUCAUACUAUAGGCAGAGGUCUAGAGGCAGGACUAUAAUCUUUUUCUUGGUCUUUGUGUUCAUGAAUUAUAAAACUAUAACUACGAAAGAAUCAAUGGCAGAAUAAAUUAGCAAAUGUAUAAAUGAAUAAAGGUGAAGAGCAUGAAGCAUUGUUCAUUACUAAAAUAUAUAGUCAGGGAAAUGAAUAUUAAUAUUCACCGGAAUGGAUAAUAAAUGGGCCAAGUGUAUUACAUAUUUGAGUAAUUGUGACAUGGAUGGUGAUAGGUAGUAGUCGGCAUCACCUUGAGUCAGUUGUGAGUUUGAGGUUUGUUGUAUUGAGAGGAAAAUAAAUAUUACCACAAAUUAAUAAACGCUUAAAUGACUAAGGACAUGAAAGAUGAAAAUUGUGGGUCGGUGGGGACAGUGUCUCAUUUUGUAAAAAUCAUUGUGUCUUCUUGGUACUCUUCAGAAUGGACGCACUGAUCUGAUUUUAGCUUCUGCCGUGCUUACAAUUGUGUUGUCUCUGUCAGGAGAGAGAACAAAAAUGGACACACCUGAGCUGAUUUAACAUCUUUCAUGGUCACGAGCUCUAUGGUUGCAUAUGUGUGUUAGGAGCAUGGAGACCAGUAAUGGACUCGCUUGAACUGAUGUAAGCAUCUUCCAUGGUCCUGAGCUCCUGCUUGCAUCUAUUUAUUAGGAGCAUAGAGACCAGUAAUGAAUACCCUCAAGCUGAUGUAAGCAUCUUCCACGGCCAUGAACUCCAUAGUUACAUCUCUGCAUUAAGAGCAUGGAGAUCAAUAAUGGGCACGGCCAUCCCAAUUUUGGCAUUCUGUCAUGGCCCCGAACUCAGUGGUGUCUUUGGAGAACGGAGACCCUUGUGUGUGAGUAACAGUCGAACUUUUUGUCUUGGUUUGGGCAAUUUUUAAGAGUGGUCAAUGCAUUUUUAAGAAGUAGGAAAUAGAAUCAAAGGCCAAACAUGACCCAGUAAUAAACAUGGGACUGGUACAAAACAUUAUGUUGAGAUGUCCAUAUGUGAAACACAGAGACCGAUUUCAGAAACAGAUCUAACGUCUGUGGGAAAUGAUUCCAUAGAUAGCUAUUAGGGAUAUUGAGGCUCUUAUUCUGGGUUUUUUGGAUUCAUGUAUAUUUCUUCAUGAGUAAGUAGUGAAUUAAUGAAUAAGUCAAUAGACAAAAUAUAAGGGAAUAGAAGGAAUAAGUCAAUAGACAAAAUAUAAAGGUUCACAAGCUUGGGCCAUUGAUGGUGCCUGGUGGUGUACGAGUCAAGGAUGACAAAUGAUACAUGUCUGGACCCCUGUAUGGAAGGUGUUGAAUCAAUACAUUGUACACCUGAAACUAAGAUUACACUGUAUGUUAAUUAAUCGGAAUUGAAAUAAAAACUUAAAAAAUAAAAUAGUUCAUAUUCAUUUCCCCCUUUUUUUCCAUCUACUUUCUACUUUACGGAAUGGAUACACUUAAGCCGAUAAUCAUUCUGUAAUGAUCAGGACCUUGAUGGUUCAAUGUGAGUAAUACUCCAAAUUCUUGUUUUUGUCUAUACAAACAGCGGGGGUUGUCUGUAUAGGGUAUUCAGAGUUGUCUGCGUGAUUGAAAAGUAUGGAAUAUAACUUGUGGGGAUGAGCCCUGGGUGUUAUAUGUAGGGGAUGAUCGCUGGAAUUUACUCCUGAAAUCAUUAUUGCCCUAUCCGCUAACUAACAUGGAUGUAAAUAAAUAAAUAAAUAAAUAAAUAAAUAAAUAGUAUGGAAUAUAAUCAAAGAAAGCCACAUGAGGACAGCGAUGAGAUUGUGUCACAAACCAAGGUUCAUGAUAUAUCUGAUUUAGCACAACACAUCCUUUUAAAAAAGGAGUUCUAAUCUUUUAGCUCUGAAGGUAUGGGACCCAGAGUAAACUGCCUGCCACUCCUAGUUCCUUUUCUUUUUUUAGUUUACUUAUUUAUUUUGAGAGAGAGAGAGAGUGAGAGAGAGAGAGAGAGUCAGAGAGACAGAAUCCCA